rnacentral:rRNA from 1 species
GAUGAACGCUGGCGGUAUGCCUAACACAUGCAAGUCGUACGAGAGUUUUUAACUCUAGUGGCGGACGGGUGAGUAACACGUGAGAAUUUGCCUUUAGGAGGGGGACAACAAUCGGAAACGAAUGCUAAUACCCCAUAUGCUUUCGAGUGAAAUGGAUUUUAUCCGCCUAGAGAGAAGCUCGCGGCUGAUUAGCUUGUUGGUAAGGUAAGAGCUUACCAAGGCGACGAUCAGUAUCUGGUUUGAGAGGACGAUCAGACACACUGGAACUGAGACACGGUCCAGACUCCUACGGGAGGCAGCAGUGGGGAAUUUUGGACAAUGGACGCAAGUCUGAUCCAGCCAUUCCGCGUGCAGGAUGAAGGCCCUCGGGUUGUAAACUGCUUUUGUACGGAACGAAACGGUCUGGGCUAAUACCCCGGGCUAAUGACGGUACCGUAAGAAUAAGCACCGGCUAACUACGUG